GACGAACGCUGGCGGCGUGCUUAACACAUGCAAGUCGAACGGAAAGGCCCUGCUUUUGUGGGGUGCUCGAGUGGCGAACGGGUGAGUAACACGUGAGUAACCUGCCCUUGACUUUGGGAUAACUUCAGGAAACUGGGGCUAAUACCGGAUAGGAGCUCCUGCUGCAUGGUGGGGGUUGGAAAGUUUCGGCGGUUGGGGAUGGACUCGCGGCUUAUCAGCUUGUUGGUGGGGUAGUGGCUUACCAAGGCUUUGACGGGUAGCCGGCCUGAGAGGGUGACCGGCCACAUUGGGACUGAGAUACGGCCCAGACUCCUACGGGGGGCAGCAGUGGGGAGUAUUGCACAAUGGGCGGAAGCCUGAUGCAGCAACGCCGCGUGCGGGAUGACGGCCUUCGGGUUGUAAACCGCUUUCGCCUGUGACGAAGCGUGAGUGACGGUAAUGGGUAAAGAAGCACCGGCUAACUACGUG
rnacentral:rRNA from 1 species